UAUUUACCUGAUGAGUUGUCAAGGAUAGAUGGCCCGUAAUUCGUCUCUAUUUCUGGUCUUAUAUACUCGAUGUUUGAAUAAUUGAGUACACGUUUACCGGCUGAUGACGAUGAAUUCAUAUGUCUACCUAUAUACAGGGGGGUCGAUUCAGAAUCUUACGAUAACCCAGUUGUCGACCGAUUCGAUUUGAUAUAGUACUAUUUCUUUUCAUUUUUAUUCACGACACCCCUCGAAACCGAUCCGAAAUGACAUCAAACCCAUACUACUAGAAUUUCUCGACCGGCAAAGGCUACAAACGUUAUUCAGAACACAAUUAUCGAACGAAAGUUACCGAACGUAUUGUAAGCAAGAAUGUAACAUGGAAAUUUCUUAUUAUUUUAAACAAAGUCUGGAUUUUCUGCAAUUUUAUUAAUUUAUUUUACUGCAAAACUAAUGCAUUCCUAUAUUUUAGGCCUGUCAAGUCCUCAAAAUGUGUUUUCGUUUCAUUUUCAUUUGUCUAAUUAUCUAUAUCACCAAUUAACUCCGAAGACGCUGUUAGAUAACGAUAUCUCUUUAACUCGAAUGUUCUGAAUAAAGCGCCCUUAUAUUCGAGAACGAUAUCUAAUCGAACGAUUCGAUUAAAAUAUAGAAGAGUUCUUAGUUGGGGUCUAGGAUGGGUUAUAUUUGCAUCUCAGUAGAACCAGUUUGGGAAAUAAUCUUUUCUAAAUUGAUUCUGGUCUGGUUGCUUUGGUCAGUGCCCUAGGGAGCUCCGUUGCUCUGGGACUCAUUGAACAAGAAACUUCCUAGUCUGAGAUCAGUUGUCCUCUGUCUUCAAGCAACAAGCGUCCAAACGUUUCUUUGGAAGGAUAUCUAUCCUUUUAUGGAAGAGCUAAGCUGCAAAAACUGCCAACGAGUAUAUGUGCCUAUAUGUGCCACGAAUAACCGAACUUUCGUCAAUAUGUGCAAACUGUAUUGUUACAAUGCACGUCACACGAAAGAUCGUCGCGUAAAAUUUAAAUACGAUGGGCCUUGUACUAAAUUCUCAAGGAGAUCUAUCGAUGGCAAUUUGGAAUUCAAUUUUACGGCACUAAGUGAAAGUCUCGGUGCCAAAAUACCAUUAAAUGAAACAAACCGCAACGUCACUAACACUGUAUUUAAGAAACAACAGAGACAGAAAUAGAAUACACUGAAAAAGAUGAUACGACGUUCAACAUUUCCAAUUGGAUAGACGAAAAUAAAUUAAAUGAUAGUUAUAUAAGAUCCAAUAUUGAUCAUAACUACAAAUUUAAAUAAACC